rnacentral:tRNA from 1 species
GCCGGGGGAGGCGCCGUGGUGAUGGCCGCCGGCUUGGGGCGCCGGCUUGGGGCGCCGGCUUGGGUGCCGGCGCCGGCGCC